GAUGAACGCUGGCGGCGUGCCUAAUACAUGCAAGUCGAGCGAACGGACGAGAAGCUUGCUUCUCUGAUGUUAGCGGCGGACGGGUGAGUAACACGUGGAUAACCUACCUAUAAGACUGGGAUAACUUCGGGAAACCGGAGCUAAUACCGGAUAAUAUUUUGAACCGCAUGGUUCAAAAGUGAAAGACGGUCUUGCUGUCACUUAUAGAUGGAUCCGCGCUGCAUUAGCUAGUUGGUAAGGUAACGGCUUACCAAGGCAACGAUGCAUAGCCGACCUGAGAGGGUGAUCGGCCACACUGGAACUGAGACACGGUCCAGACUCCUACGGGAGGCAGCAGUAGGGAAUCUUCCGCAAUGGGCGAAAGCCUGACGGAGCAACGCCGCGUGAGUGAUGAAGGUCUUCGGAUCGUAAAACUCUGUUAUUAAGGAAGAACAUAUGUGUAAGUAACUGUGCACAUCUUGACGGUACCUAAUCAGAAAGCCACGGCCAACUACGUG
rnacentral:rRNA from 1 species